rnacentral:rRNA from 1 species
CAAGUCGAACGGCAGCACGGACUUCGGUCUGGUGGCGAGUGGCGAACGGGUGAGUAAUAUAUCGGAACGUAUCCAAUAAUGGGGGAUAACUAAUCGAAAGGUUGGCUAAUACCGCAUACGCCCUACGGGGGAAAGCUAGGGACCUUCGGGCCUGGCGUUAAUGGAGCGGCCGAUAUCUGAUUAGCUAGUUGGUGAGGUAAAGGCUCACCAAGGCGACGAUCAGUAGCUGGUCUGAGAGGACGACCAGCCACACUGGAACUGAGACACGGCCCAGACUCCUACGGGAGGCAGCAGUGGGGAAUAUUGGACAAUGGGGGCAACCCUGAUCCAGCAAUGCCGCGUGUGUGAAGAAGGCCUUCGGGUUGUAAAGCACUUUCAGUAGGGAGGAAAAGCUUGAUGCUAAUACCAUUGAGUCUUGACGUUACUUACAGAAGAAGCACCGGCUAACUCUGUGCCAGCAGCCGCGG